CCUCGCCUUCAACGACCCGCCGGCGGAUUUCGAGACGGAGGAGCCUUACCUCGUCGUGGAACUGGACGAGGCCCGUCGUCGGCAGCAGCAGGGCGAGGGAUGGUAUCCGACGCUGCAAGACGUCCCGACGCAGGCGGUCUCGAUGUCGAUCCGCCAGAUCCUGAAGGCGAUUAAGAUCGUCUGCAGCGUUCCGGACGAUCGGAAAGCCCGUGCCGUCCGCGAGAGCCUGGAAGAGCCGGUCGAUCCGCAGAUUCCCGCGUCCAUCCUGCGGACGCACGGCGACGUGACGCUGUUCCUGGAUCGCGAGAGCGCCUCGCAGCUCGCCCAGGAAACGAUCGACGCCGCCAGGAAAAGUUCCUGACGGCGUUCGCGUCGUUCUUUAGAUCAAUUGCAGCGGAUGCGGCGCCUGGUUCACUCGCCGAU
rnacentral:misc_RNA from 1 species